rnacentral:rRNA from 1 species
GCUAAGGCCCCUAAAUGAUCGCUGAGUGAUGAAGGAGGUGGGAGUGCAAAAACAGCCAGGAGGUUCGCCUAGAAGCAGCGAUCCUUGAAAGAGUGCGUAAUAGCUUACUGCUCGAGCGCUCUUGCACCGAAGAUGAUCGGGACUAAGCGAUCUGCCGAAGCUGUGGGAUGUAAUAAAAAAUACAUCGGUAGGGGAGCGUUCCGCCUCAGAGAGAAGUAUCUGCGCGAGCAGAGUUGGACGAAGCGGAAGCGAGAAUGUCGGCUUGAGUAACGCAAACAUUGGUGAGAAUCCAAUGCCCCGAAAACCUAAGGAUUCCUCCGCAAGGUUCGUCCACGGAGGGUGAGUCAGGGCCUAAGAUCAGGCCGAAAGGCGUAGUUGAUGGACAACAGGUUAAUAUUCCUGUACUACCCUUUGUUGGUCCCGAGGGACGGAGUAGGCUAAGUUAGCCGUCUUAAUUAUGGUUUUGCGGUUCAAGGUCAGAAGGUGACCCCGAAAAAGCGGGGUCAAAACGGGGUAGAGAAAAUACCUCGAGCCAAUGUCCGAAUUCCAGCGUGGCGUCAAAAAAUGAAAAAGACAGACAACACGCUGGGCAACCCACGUCAUACUCCCAGGAAAAGCUCGAACGACCUUCAACAAACGGGUACCUGUACCUGAAACCGACACAGGUAGGUAGGUAGAG